rnacentral:rRNA from 1 species
GUGAGGAAUAUUGGUCAAUGGGCGGAAGCCUGAACCAGCCAUCCCGCGUGAAGGAAGACAGCCUUACGGGUUGUAAACUUCUUUUCUGUCAGAAGAAUAAGCUUGUCGAGACGAGUGAUGCCGGUAUGACAGGAAUAAGCAUCGGCUAACUCCGUGCCAGCAGCCGCGGUAAUACGGAGGAUGCAAGCGUUAUCCGGAUUUAUUGGGUUUAAAGGGUGCGCAGGUUGUUUGAUAAGUCAGUGGUGAAAGUCUGUCGCUUAACGGUAGGAUUGCCAUUGAUACUGUUGGACUUGAAUAUGGAUGAGGUAGGCGGAAUGUGUAGUGUAGCGGUGAAAUGCAUAGAUAUUACACAGAACACCGAUUGCGAAGGCAGCUUACUAAUCCAUCAUUGACGCUGAGGCACGAAAGCGUGGGGAUCAAACAGGAUUAGAAACCCUAGUAGUCC